GAUGAACGCUGGCGGCGUGCCUAAUACAUGCAAGUCGAGCGAACGGACGAGAAGCUUGCUUUUCUGAUGUUAGCGGCGGACGGGUGAGUAACACGUGGAUAACCUACCUAUAAGACUGGAAUAACUUCGGGAAACCGGAGCUAAUACCGGAUAAUGUUUUGAACCGCAUGGUUCAAAAGUGAAAGACGGUCUUGCUGUCACUUAUAGAUGGAUCCGCGCUGCAUUAGCUAGUUGGUAAGGUAACGGCUUACCAAGGCAACGAUGGAUAGCCGACCUGAGAGGGUGAUCGGCCACACUGGAACUGAGACACGGUCCAGACUCCUACGGGAGGCAGCAGUAGGGAAUCUUCCGCAAUGGGCGAAAGCCUGACGGAGCAACGCCGCGUGAGUGAUGAAGGUCUUCGGAUCGUAAAACUCUGUUAUUAGGGAAGAACAUAUGUGUAAGUAACUGUGCACAUCUUGACGGUACCUAAUCAGAAAGCCACGGCUAACUACGUG
rnacentral:rRNA from 1 species